GACGAACGCUGGCGGCGUGCCUAAUACAUGCAAGUUGAGCGCUGAAGGUUGGUACUUGUACCAACUGGAUGAGCAGCGAACGGGUGAGUAACGCGUGGGGAAUCUGCCUUUGAGCGGGGGACAACAUUUGGAAACGAAUGCUAAUACCGCAUAAAAACUUUAAACACAAGUUUUAAGUUUGAAAGGUGCAAUUGCAUCACUCAAAGAUGAUCCCGCGUUGUAUUAGCUAGUUGGUGAGGUAAAGGCUCACCAAGGCGAUGAUACCUAGCCGACCUGGGAGGGUGAUCGGCCACAUUGGGACUGAGACACGGCCCAAACUCCUACGGGAGGCAGCAGUAGGGAAUCUUCGGCAAUGGACGAAAGUCUGACCGAGCAACGCCGCGUGAGUGAAGAAGGUUUUCGGAUCGUAAAACUCUGUUGGUAGAGAAGAACGUUGGUGAGAGUGGAAAGCUCAUCAAGUGACGGUAACUACCCAGAAAGGGACGGCUAACUACGUG
rnacentral:rRNA from 1 species